GAAAAUUUAGUUAAACCCCCUAUAACAUUAGUUUGUCAAACUAAAAUUAUAAUAUUUAUAGUUUUCA
rnacentral:tRNA from 1 species